CACGUCCUUCGCGGGAGUCCGGCGCACCGGGCUGAGAGGGGGCUGUCGCGGCCUCGACCGUUCCGACUUGAUCCGGGUCAUGCCGGCGCAAGGAGAAGUCGAUCGUGUCGU
rnacentral:ncRNA from 1 species